rnacentral:misc_RNA from 1 species
CGCUGGAACUCCUUUCUAGGAGAUCGACUGUCCUAGCAAUAGGACGUCUAUCCUAGGUAACACAGUCAUCGAUUGGUCACUUCUCUGUCACUAUUCAGCUUUGAGAGAGUUUGUCCGCCGUAGCCGUAAGGCGAAGGCGGAUCCGUUUUCUCUGCUCUUUGACAACUGAAUAUCGAAAUUAGAUCAAGAACAAAAGCAAGCACAAGUUCAUAGGAUUCUUACUGCACGCAAUGGAGUUGUCUCUGUGUGGUUUUGCCACGUAGAGAGUCGAAGUUGAGUUAGUAAGCUACUAAGGGCGCAUGGUGGACGCCUUGGCAA